UACGUAGGGGACAAGCGUUGUCCGGAUUUACUGGGCGUAAAGGGCGUGUAGGCGGCCAGGUAAGUCCGUUGUGAAAACUGGAGGCUUAACCUCCAGCUGUCGAUGGAAACUAUCUGGCUAGAGUCCGGAAGAGGAGAGUGGAAUUCCUGGUGUAGCGGUGAAAUGCGCAGAUAUCAGGAAGAACACCCGUGGCGAAGGCGGCGCGCUGGGACGGUACUGACGCUGAGACGCGAAAGCGUGGGGAGCGAACAGG
rnacentral:rRNA from 1 species